UAGGCGUAAAUGAUGCGAGUUAAGUGUGGGGGCAUCUACGAGAUGGCCCUGUGCUGUAGGGUAGCCGUUAAACUCGCUGCCUGGGGAGUACGGUCGCAAGGCUGAAACUUAAGGAUUGGCGGGGGAGCACCACAAGAGGUGGAGGCUGCGGUUCAAUUGGACUCAACGCCGGAAAACUCAUCGGGAGCGACAGCAGUAUGAUUGCCAGGUUGAUGACCUUGCUUGACAAGCUGAGAGGAGGUGCAUGGCGUAGUCGUGU
rnacentral:rRNA from 1 species